AAACACAGAAAGGACGCAGGCUCAUGCUGCGAAAACAGCUGCGAAAACUGUCAGUGUUUUGGAGUCUGGCUUUCUCGGCUUCAACUUUUAAGAUAUUUAAUUCUUCAUAGAAUAUUUAAAAAGGAAACAGUGACCAUGAGUAGAAAUUUAAGGUCUGAGUCGGGGGGGGAAACGUAUUUUCAAGGGAAUGUAGUGUUUGAGAUUUUGCUUUUGCAAAAUCUGGUAAAAACAGAAAGAACUGAGGGGAGAAAAAGGAAGUAAACUUUUUUUAUCAGACAUUUUCCCACAGAAUGAUCAGUGAAGCAGAGGCGCUUGUUUCAAUUUGUGUGAAUCUCCAGUUUAGGGAAGUACGUGAAUAUCACAGGGGGAUUUUCAGAAUUAAAUGACUGGAUCUCUCAGACCCAGAUUCUGCACAGAGAAACCAAAAGGAAAACCUCGGGCACUGCUGGCACUUCCAAGACUACAUCAAUAACUGCGUUGCUUCACUCACCUUAUACUCACUCUGAAGGACAGAGCUGCAUAGUUCAUCAUGCCAAGCUAAUGUAUUUAUGGUCCGAAAAGCUCUCCUCACUCCCAGACUUGAGGCUUACAGUGGAAUCCAAGUCAGGGAAAGUAAUGCAUAUAUAUGAAUAAGCAGCGCACUGUGUUAUGGUGGAAGCUGGUUAAUACUCUCUGAAGAAGAUUUUUGUUUUCCAUUGAUCACUGAUGAGCACCACAGCGCGGGUGGACAGACAGCAGGACCAGGCGGCAAACUCUGGGCUUCUGCUUGGGACCCUACCUCUGGCCUGCUGUAACACCUUUGGUAAAUCACCUUCUCUCUCUGCGUCGCAGUUUCUUCCUUUACAAAAUGAGAGAAGGUCAAUUUGCAAAGCACUUUUUGAGAAAUAACGAUUACAAGUGCUAUAUAUUAGUUGGGUGGACUUAUUAGCUUCUAUACCUUCUUUUCUUGUGCAAUAGCCACCAAUAAAGACAGAUAUUUCAGCUUUGAUUGUUUAUUAGAUAAUUUACUAAUUUUGGAUUCAAAUCUGAAUUCAGAUUUCAAAUGAAAUUCAAAGCUUCAAACAAUUGAAUGUGAUUUUUCAGUUUCAUGUUACAGAAAAUGCAAAUUUUCAUAUAGAAUACUUCAAUAAAACACAUUUUGUUCCUAUUUAUUAUUUUGAGUAUCCAAAUGGACACAAUCAAUCUGCUCAGCAACGCUACCUCUUUUUGAAGAUUCCCCUCAUUAGGUAUUUAUAGAGAAAUUGCUACAAGUAAUUCCAUUACCAAUUGCUACCAGUAAUUCCAUUAGGCUGAAUCACCGAGUAACCUUGUUUCUGACACUAUAACCAGAUAUAUCACAUGAAGUUGUGAACUGAAUGCAUCAUGCACUGGGAGGCUGCUGAGAAGAAUAUACUGAAAGUUAGGAAAAGAGAAAAUAGUACACAGACAUGGG